AAUUAGUGGCAGACGGGUGAGUAAUGCAUAGGAAUCUACCUAGUAGUAUGGGAUAGCCACUAGAAAUGGUGGGUAAUACUGUAUAAUCCCUGCGGGGGAAAGAUUUAUCGCUAUUAGAUGAGCCUAUGUUAGAUUAGCUAGUUGGUAGGGUAAAGGCCUACCAAGGCAGUGAUCUAUAGCUGGUCUGAGAGGAUGAUCAGCCACACUGGAACUGAGAUACGGUCCAGACUCCUACGGGAGGCAGCAGUGGGGAAUAUUGGACAAUGGGCGCAAGCCUGAUCCAGCUAUGCCGCGUGAGUGAGGAAGGCCUUAGGGUUGUAAAACUCUUUCAGUGGGGAAGAUAAUGACGGUACCCACAGAAGAAGUCCCGGCAAACUCCGUGCCAGCAGCCGCGGUAAUACGGAGGGGGCAAGCGUUGUUCGGAAUUAUUGGGCGUAAAGGGCAUGUAGGCGGUUCGGUAAGUUAAAGGUGAAAUGCCAGGGCUUAAC
rnacentral:rRNA from 1 species